AGCAAUAAAACUUAAUCCAACAGUAAAUUUUCAAAAUGGGCUUGUAAAAUUCCUAAAAUCUGAACCGUCUACUUGUUCUUAAUCCAACGGUGAAUAUGAAAUUGAUGAAAAUAUGAUCGUUGUGAAGAAUUCAUUUUUAUAAAUCAACUCCUUGUAGAAAGAGAGGCGAUGAGUCUUCUGGGUUUUUCUCUCAGUGUUUUAGGCGAUGAGUCGAAUGGAUUCAAGUACUAUAAUAAUCAGUAAAUUAUCCGAAAAACGGGUUUUUUCAUCAAGAAGAACUAGACAAGGAUUUUGAAGAUGGAUUCAAGUGCUGUUCUAGAGUAACAGAGAAUUAAGUUAAUAAUAAGAUACUCAACAAAAAUCAGAUCAGUCACA